CAUUAUUGAAUUCCAAACGUAAAGGACUUGUGCUGUGCGCUUCGGCUGCACGUCUUGUCCGAUACAUUUACACCUGUGCACCUUUGACCCGCAUAUAGUCGGGUCCUUACACACACUUUAAAAAUCUUAGAAUGUUUUAUAUAUUAAAUUAUGACAACUUUCAACAACGGAUCUCUUGGCUCUCGCAUCGAUGAAGAACGCAGCGAAAUGCGAUAAGUAAUGUGAAUUGCAGAAUUCAGUGAAUCAUCGAAUCUUUGAACGCACCUUGCGCCCUUUGGUAAUCCGAGGGGCAUGCCUGUUUGAGUGUCUUGAAGCUCUCAAACGUUUAUUUACUUAAACGUUUGGAUUUGGGUGUUCUUUUGCCGGUCGCAAGAUCAGCUCACCCUAAAUGCAUUAGCUGGCUUUUGGGUCCGCGAACUCGGUGUGAUAAUUGUCACUCGCUGGGACUUCGUGACCUUAAGGAAGCUGCUUCCAAUCGUGCUCCUCGUGGGACAAUACAUCUAAGUGUUUNNCCUCAAAUCAGGUAGGGCUACCC
rnacentral:rRNA from 1 species